rnacentral:rRNA from 1 species
UACGGAGGAUUCGAGCGUUAUCCGGAUUUAUUGGGUUUAAAGGGAGCGUAGGCGGGUUGUUAAGUCAGUUGUGAAAGUUUGCGGCUCAACCGUAAAAUUGCAGUUGAUACUGGCAUCCUUGAGUACAGUAGAGGCAGGCGGAAUUCGUGGUGUAGCGGUGAAAUGCUUAGAUAUCACGAAGAACUCCGAUUGCGAAGGCAGCCUGCUGGACUGUAACUGACGCUGAUGCUCGAAAGUGUGGGUAUCAAACAGG